GGUCCCUGUGAGGCUGGCUUCUACUGCACAGGGGGCUCAAUGCUCCCAAACCCCAUGGAUGGAGCAGGAGGGAACAUUUGUCCUCGAGGCCACUUCUGUCCUGCAGGGAGUUCUUCUCCAUCUCCAUGUCCUCCAGGCUCCUUUUUGGCUCAUGAUGGGGGCCAGUCAGCACAGGAUUGCCAGGCCUGCUCCCCAGGGUGGUUCUGCUCUCAGCAUGGCCAGAGAUCCCCAGAGGGCUUGUGUAAAGAAGGAUGGUUUUGCCCAGAGGGCUCUGUGUCAGCCCAGCAUUCAGACUAUUUGUGUCCUGUGGGUCACUAUUGCCCCACUGGCAGCGCAGAGCCCAUACCCUGUCCCUCUGGAAAAUACCAGGAUCAGGCUGGGAAAAGCCAGUGUGAAACAUGCCCAGCAGGGAUGUAAGUGAAGUGGAUUCUAUCCUUGCUCUUGAUGCUUUCCUUAGGAAUUAGCAUGUGCAUUUCCC